rnacentral:sRNA from 1 species
GAAGGCAAUCUGAUGGUGAUACUGGUCACCCUAUUGAUUCUGGGAUUAAUCAGACUGACCUGGCUGGAUAGGCAAGCAUUCUUUUUUUCCCUC